rnacentral:rRNA from 1 species
UAUGCGUUGUUGGGUAGGGGAGCGUUCUGUAAGCCUGCGAAGGUGGCCUGUGAGGGUUGCUGGAGGUAUCAGAAGUGCGAAUGCUGACAUAAGUAACGAUAAAGCGGGUGAAAAGCCCGCUCGCCGGAAGACCAAGGGUUCCUGUCCAACGUUAAUCGGGGCAGGGUGAGUCGACCCCUAAGGCGAGGCCGAAAGGCGUAGUCGAUGGGAAACGGGUUAAUAUUCCCGUACUUGGUGUUACUGCGAAGGGGGGACGGAGAAGGCUAUGUUGGCCGGGCGACGGUUGUCCCGGUUUAAGCGUGUAGGUGUGUGUUCCAGGUAAAUCCGGUUCACUUUAACACUGAGGCGUGACGACGAGGCACUACGGUGCUGAAGCAACAAAUGCCCUGCUUCCAGGAAAAGCCUCUAAGCAUCAGGUAACAUCAAAUCGUACCCCAAACCGACACAGGUGGUCAGGUAGAGAAUACCAAGGCGCUUGAGAGAACUCGGGUGAAGGAACUAGGCAAAAUGGUGCCGUAACUUCGGGAGAAGGCACGCUGACACGUAGGUGAAGUGAUUUACUCAUGGAGCUGAAGUCAGUCGAAGAUACCAGCUGGCUGCAACUGUUUAUUAAAAACACAGCACUGUGCAAACACGAAAGUGGACGUAUACGGUGUGACGCCUGCCCGGUGCCGGAAGGUUAAUUGAUGGGGUCAGCGCAAGCGAAGCUCCUGAUCGAAGCCCCGGUAAACGGCGGCCGUAACUAUAACGGUCCUAAGGUAGCGAAAUUCCUUGUCGGGUAAGUUCCGACCUGCACGAAUGGCGUAAUGAUGGCCAGGCUGUCUCCACCCGAGACUCAGUGAAAUUGAACUCGCUGUGAAGAUGCAGUGUACCCGCGGCAAGACGGAAAGACCCCGUGAACCUUUACUAUAGCUUGACACUGAACAUUGAGCCUUGAUGUGUAGGAUAGGUGGGAGGCUUUGAAGUGUGGACGCCAGUCUGCAUGGAGCCGACCUUGAAAUACCACCCUUUAAUGUUUGAUGUUCUAACGUGGACCCGUUACCCGGGUUGCGGACAGUGUCUGGUGGGUAGUUUGACUGGGGCGGUCUCCUCCUAAAGAGUAACGGAGGAGCACGAAGGUUGGCUAAUCCUGGUCGGACAUCAGGAGGUUAGUGCAAUGGCAUAAGCCAGCUUGACUGCGAGCGUGACGGCGCGAGCAGGUGCGAAAGCAGGUCAUAGUGAUCCGGUGGUUCUGAAUGGAAGGGCCAUCGCUCAACGGAUAAAAGGUACUCCGGGGAUAACAGGCUGAUACCGCCCAAGAGUUCAUAUCGACGGCGGUGUUUGGCACCUCGAUGUCGGCUCAUCACAUCCUGGGGCUGAAGUAGGUCCCAAGGGUAUGGCUGUUCGCCAUUUAAAGUGGUACGCGAGCUGGGUUUAGAACGUCGUGAGACAGUUCGGUCCCUAUCUGCCGUGGGCGCUGGAGAACUGAGGGGGGCUGCUCCUAGUACGAGAGGACCGGAGUGGACGCAUCACUGGUGUUCGGGUUGUCAUGCCAAUGGCACUGCCCGGUAGCUAAAUGCGGAAGAGAUAAGUGCUGAAAGCAUCUAAGCACGAAACUUGCCCCGAG